AGAAACAGAGUGCUAUAGGAGGUGAAGAAAUCAAGCAGAAACCAAGUGGAAAACAAAACAAGUGACCAUCACCAAAUAAUGCAGAUAAAGUAGAAUGGAACUACAUAUCAAUAGUAGAAGGAAACCUGGAAAAUCUACAGAAAUAUGGAAAUUAACACAUGUUAAAAAAUCAAGAUU